rnacentral:rRNA from 1 species
CCCUUAGAUGUUCUGGGCCGCACGCGCGCUACACUGACUGGUGCAACAAGUGUCGCUCCUUGGCCGAUAGGCCUGGGCAAUCUUUGAACGCCAGUCGUGAUGGGGAUAGAUUCUUGCAAUUUUUGAUCUUCAACGAGGAAUUCCUAGUAAACGCGAGUCAUCAACUCGCAUUGAUUACGUCCCUGCCCUUUGUACACACCGCCCGUCGCACCUACCGAUUGAAUGGUCCGGUGAAAUCUCGGGACGGCGGCUUGGUCGCUUGCGUCCGACUGCUGAAACUUGAUUAAACCAUAUCAUUUAGAGGAAGGUGAAGUCGUAACA